rnacentral:lncRNA from 1 species
AGGUUGCCUCUUACCCUCCUUUUCUAUACACUGGGCAAACAAAGAGUGUGGAGCUACUGGAGAGAGUCCAACAAGGGGCCAUGAAGAUGAUGAAGGGACGGGAGCAACUCUCCUAUAAGGAAAGGCUGAGACAGCUGGGACUGUUUAGCCUGGAGGAGAAGACUCAGGGAGAAUCUCAUCAGUGUCUAUAAAUACCUGAAGGGAGAGUGCAAAGAGGAUGGAGCCAGGUUUAUUUCAGUGGUGUCCAGUGACAGGACAAGAGGUAAUGGGCACAAGAUGAAACACAAGAAAUUCCAUUUGAAUAUCAGGAAACACUUUGUUACUGUGGAGGGUGACUGAGCACACAAACGGGUUGCCCAGAGAGGUUAUGAGUAUUGUCCAGAGAGGCUGUGGGGUCUCCCUCCUUGGAGAUCUUCAAAUGCCACCUGGACAUGGUCCUGGGCAACCUGCUCUGGGUGGCCCUGCUUAAGCAGGGUUUGGACCAGAUGGCCUCCAGAGGUACCUUCCAGCCUCAACCAUUCUGUGGCUCUGUGAUGUAAGUCAGCCAAAGAACUCUUCCUAACUCAGCUGAUUCAGUUGUUUUCCUUUGUGACUAUGGGGAUCACGGUCGGCAUCCCUCAUGAAACCUAGAAGUUACAAGAAUCUCUAACAGAUUUACUAGGGAAAGAGGGUACAGAGGCUAUACCUUUUCCCCCAAACUUCUGUGGACACAAAGAACAGAUUUUUUCCUUCUUCACAACAUCUACUCUGCAUAUUUGAAGUCCUGUCCCUCUCUGUAAGGGUGAGGGAUGGUUAACUCAACUGAGGAUCUAAUUGGAGGUUUUUGAUCUAUAAGACUGCCACAACAGCCUACUGACACUUCCACUACCAAUUCUGCAGCAGGUUGGUCUGAGACUGCUGUCCCAUGGCUGUGCAAUGAAAUCCCUUGCUAUUGUGGUAUCAGUCCAUCCAUUAAAAACUUCUGCAGAAUUUGCACCCCAGAUGUUUUUAGAUUCAUGCAGAACCAACCACUUGAAAAAUUCUCCUCUGAAGACUGCUAUCAGCACAGAAACAACUGUAGCUUAAUCACGGUUUUAUUUAAAAAAGAAGAAUACAUAUUUACUUUGAUAAUAUUUUUGAGUUCCUGAAGGCCAGAUCCUGUUCCCACUGGUAUCUGUGGCAAAACUCCCAUUAACUUCAAUGGCAACAAAAGCAGCCACUUAGUUUGCAUAAUCUGCAGAAAGUAAAUAUUUUAACAAUUGUUAUCUGUAUUAUUUAAAUAGCUAAUAAAAA